GCCCAUUCUUAAAUAUUCAAUUCAAAAACUCCAUGCUCUUGGUUCCUUCGUCUUUGGGUUUAGGAAACGUUCAAAUGACUGUUGAAGUUAACAUGGUUAAGAUGUAUACUAUAUCAAACAAAAUAGACACAAUGAAAUUGGAAUCGAAAAUGUGUCAAAGAGACAACAGUCCUACCAUGGAGCAGGGCCACAAAUGGGUAACGAUGAUAUAUCACGCUUUUUUAUAUAAAUUAUCACUUUUAUCAGUUAAAAAUUUGAGAAUUGUUAGCUUUUCGUCCACAUGAGAAACAAUAAAAGUACAGCUGUAGAAUGAAGCACGGUGUGUCGUACAUAUAUAAAUUAAGUAAAAAUAUAUUAGAAAUAAGUGAAAGAAAUUAGAAUUAU
rnacentral:lncRNA from 1 species